AGGCUGAGGGAGCUGCACCUGAGGAAACCCAGGAGGCAAAGGUGGUCCUGGUCAGGAUGAUGAGGAGGUCCGUGUGGCUGGAGCAGGUGAGCUAGGUGGAGAGAGGCCGUAGAUGAGGGCAGAGCUGCUGCGGGAGCCAAACGUGUAAGGAUCUUUUCGGGCAGUGAGAGGACGUUGGUUUCUCACAGCAGAGAAGGGACAUCAUCUGACAUAUUUUAAAAGUAUCUCUCCGGCUCCCUUGUGGACUGUAAGGGACCAAGAGUUGAAACAGGCACCCAGGAGGAGUCCUUCCAGCAACUGAGAGGACUUGGUCCGAUUCUACCUCCGGAACAAUGCUCAGCCCACAGCCCUCAUUCCCUCCGUGAUGAACAGUAACUGUGGACUUUUGACCUUCCUCUUGAGCUUGGUCUGAGUCUUGGCAUUUACAACCACGGCUCUAGACAACACCUAUUGGUCCUUUGAAACAACUCUCAGGCUUUACGUUCAUUCUGAAGACUUCCUUUAUGUUGACCUCCAUUCACUGCUACCCAUCCAUUGUGCCCAGGAUGUGGCAGAGGCAUAUAUGAUGUUGAGGGAAUAUUGCAGUUACACUUACCUAACUGAUGGCAUGUUGGGAGGAUGGAGUAGUACAAUUUAAGGAUUUCAUGCUGUAUGGAUCACUUCUUGUACCCUUUCUUACAUCCUCUUAGCCUACCUUUUGACUCCAGGCAUUGCUGUGAUAACUGUGUGAUUGUAACCUAUCAGCCUCUCCCUUCAGCUGCACCACCAAACUCUCGCUUUCUGACCUGGGGCUUCUCUGAGGCUGUUGUUGACUUUGCAGAAACCGGGUUAGCCAUUCUGCCCUAUGCACACACCACAAGUGGGAAUGAAUGAAAACCCCAUGGGGGCAAUGAUGGGAGCUGACGAUAGUACUUCCCUUGGCAUCCCUUAGAAAGACAUACGAGGGACUCAUUCGGCAAGGCAACCCAAAGCAUCCCAAGAGGGGGGCGCCUCACUUGCCUAUACCAGUGAUCAGCUCAGUAAAAGACCUCUGGAUUGGCUUUCCCUCCCCCUGUUUCAGUCUGCCUUGUUCUUUCCUCCUGUUCUUUGGAAUCAUUUCCCAAAGUAAACUCUUGUCUCAGGCCCAGCUUUUGGAGAGAACCCAGACUAAGACAGCUUAUUUAAAAUCAGCUUUACUCGGCCAGCGCGGUGGGUCACGCCUGUAAUCCCAGCACUUUGGGAGGCCGAGGCGGACGGAGCACGAGGUCAGGAGAUCGAGACCAUCCUGGCUAACAUGGUGAAACCCCGUCUCUACUAAAAAUACACACACACACACAAAAUUAGCCAGGUGUGGUGGCAGUCGCCUGUAGUCCCAGCUACUUGGGAGGCUGAGGCAGGAGAAUGGCGUGAACCCGGGAGGUGGAGCUUACAGUGAGCCGAGAUUGCGCCACUGCACUCCAGCCUGGGCGACAGAGUG
rnacentral:lncRNA from 1 species